UUUACCUCCGAUCAAAACCGAAUUUCAGCAAAUACAACAGGAAUGGCUGAUGAUCGUUCCCCACAGGGAAGCCAAUCAGGCAGAACGACAAACUUGACCACCAGAAAAACAAGAUGUCACCACUACUUUAACGAAUCAAAAAUCAGAUCCGUUUGCGGAAAACAUUAUAAAUACACCAGAUUCUAAAAAACACCGUUACAAGCGAAAGUUUCUGCACACGACGGAAAGAGAAUCACAGAAAAUGUAAGCCAAAUCCUUUUUUAACUAUCUUCAUUUCUCCCUUGCUUUUCUCCCACUUAACUCGGUAUGACUGAAACUUUGAUGAUAUUCAUUUCUUGUCAACCACUACUAACACUACUGAAUUUUGUACAUUUAAAUAAGUUGACCCACAGUGUUUAUAUUAGUGGCUGUUGUGCGCAUUUAAACUUGUCAACAUUGGAACUUUUAAGUAUGUUUUUCUAAUUCAUAAUUCUAAAUUUUUACCAUUCAUAAACAGAAAAUAUUGUUGAAACUAGUCUGGUAUAUAUGAGCAGUCUUUAUAGAAACCACCUAAUAAUUAAUUAAUUAAGUACAUGAAUGAAUAUUAAACUGAUUCUCUGUACUCUUUCUUUUUUAAUGUUUAUAAUUUAUAUAUACACACCAUUUACCUAUUUGGGUUAUGAUAUCAUUUUUGGAAUUCUUAAAUUUUAUUUUUAUACAACAUAACAAUAUUGUUUAUAAACAUUCCCCCAUAGUGCCCCUAAUAAAACUUCCUCUGUAUUAACAUAUUAGGUUUCUUCGCGUCUUUCCCCUUUAACUGGUAAUUAACAUCAUGAUUUAUAGUCUACCCCUACCCUGCCUCUUUUUAUAGACAGUUACUUAUAUCCAGCUGACUACUCCUAAUGCAUUAUUUCCUUCCUGGGGAAAAGGGAUACAUGAUAAUAUUUAUGACCAUACCUAGCCAUGAGCUGUCAACUCAUUCUUGUCCUUUAUUCAAAAUAGACACAGUCUUCUAGUCUCAGAUUUAGUAGUUCAUAAAGAGAUAAAUGAAUUAGAAAUGAAUUACAAUUCUUACAACCCUAUGACCCCACUCUGCCCUAUGCGAUUCUUAGAAGUCGUAGUCUAUUCUUAGCGACAACAUGGAUUUCUCCCAUCUUCUUACUCUGUUAAAAUAUUUAAGGAAAAUUAUAUUAAUGUGUCCUACUUGUUAAAAUUCCAUUUAUUCAUUUGUGCAGCUGAAGAUAGCACUGCAUAUUGCUGUAAUCAUUACACUGUUCAAUUAAAUGGAACUGCUUGAAACGGUAAUACUGCAUUACUACUUGAUAUCCUAUUGUUUAUUUUGAGUUUAUUCACCUUCCUUCGAGCUGUGCAGGUAAUACUGGACUGAUUUGGUGCUUCAACUCAAGUACCUAAUUCAAUUGAAUCUUAAUUAUUUAAUGUAUUUAUGUAUGCAUGUAUGUAUGUAUGUAUGUAUGUAUGUAUGUAUGUAUGUAUGUAUGUAUGUAUUUAUGUAUGUACGUGUGUGCGCGCCCACGUCUGUAUGUAUGACUAUGCAUGUACAUAUAAAUGAACGUGUAAAUUUGUAACAGCAGAAUUAGCCAAACUCAAUUUAUAAAAGUACAUUGUUCAUAAAACGUAAUAGAGUCAGUAUAAUCUUUUAUCUUUUAUUUUUUCAGUCAUUCGACUGCGGCCAUGCUGGGACACACCUUGAACCCUUUGGUUGAACGAAUCUACCCCAAUACAUAUUUUUAAGCUGGGUAUUUAUUCUAUCGCUCUCUAUUGCCAGAGCACUAUACUCCGCGGGCCUAAACAAACCAACACCGGUUGUCAAACAGCGGGUGAGGACAAACACCGAUUCGAAGACACACACACACACACACACACAUAUAUAUAUAUAUAUAUAUAUAUAUAUAUAUAUAUACAUGCACACACUCAUGCACACACACUCAUACACACACAUAUUUAUGCGAUAGGCUUCUUUAGGUUUCCGUCUACCAAAUCCACUCACAAGGAUUUGGUCGACCUGUAACUAUUGUAGAAGACUUGCCCAAGAUGUGAUGCGGUAGGACUAAAUCAUGUCUUCGGGAAGCAAACUUCUUACCACACAGCCAUGCCUGCACCUAUAUGUGUGUGUGUAUACUCUUUUACUCUUUUAUUUGUUUCAGUCAUUUGACGGCGGCUAUGCUGGAGCACCGCUUUUAGUCGAGGAAAUCGACCCCAUGACUUAUGCUUUGUAAGCCUAGUACUUAUUCUAUCGGGCCCUUUUGCCGAACCGCUAAGUUACGGAGACGUAAACACACCAGCAUCUGUUGUCAAGCGAUGUUGAGGGCACACACAUAGACAUAUACACACAUGUACAUAUAUAUAUAUAUAAACAAAUAUAAGACGGGCUUCUUUCAGUUCCCGUCUACCAAAUCCACUCACAAGGCUUUGGUCGGCCCGAGGCUAUAGUAGAAGACACUUGCCCAAGGUGCCAUGCAGUGGGACUGAACCCGGAACCAUGUGGUUGGUAAGCAAGCUA
rnacentral:lncRNA from 1 species